GGUCAUAUCACGUGGAAACAUCGGUUCACAUAUAGUCACCGAAGUUAAGCAACGCUGAACUUGGUCAGUACCUAGAUGGGUAACCGCUUGGGAAUACUAGGAGCUGUAAG